GCAAAUAGAAGCCAUGUGGGAAAGGGGGAAGUAGUAGAGGGGGCAGUUGUAGAUUAUUAUGAAAAAUUGUUUAAAAGAAAAAGUGGAGUGGAGGCCUGCUAUGGGGGGUUUAGGGUUCAGUCUAAUCGGACGGGAGGUGAAUGGUUGGAGAGGGCAAUCGAGGAGGAGGGGAAAAGAGUGGCGGAGUGUUGAGCAUGUGACAAAGCUCGGCCCCAAAUGGUUUCUCUUUGGCUUUUUUUUAGCAUUGCUGGAAUACAGUCAAAACAAAUGUGAUGAAUUCUAUUGCUGAGUUCCAACAUAGUAGUGAAUUUGAAAAGAGUUUGAAUGCCUCGUUCAUUGUUAUCAUCCCUAAAUGGGAGUGAACUACGAGCGCAGUGGAUUAUAAGACUUAAGAAGGUGUUGGCUGAAGUCGUUUCUACUUCACAAAAUGCUUUUGUGGAGGGCAAACGGAUUUUGUAUGCAGCGUUGGUGGCAAACAAAGUGAUGGAUUCAAAGAUAAAGUAGGGAAUACCUGGUGUGUUGUGCAAACUUGAUCUUGAAAAGGCAUACGAUCAUGUGAAUCGGAAAUUCCAGGAUUGAAGAUCUUCCUGCUAUACUCUCCACAAUUGUAAUUAGGAACCUGUAAUUUGUUGUGGCAGGUUCUGGUUUUUUGCUUUGGAAUAGAAUACAAGUUGUUACCUUCUCAAAAAAAAUUCCAGGAUUCCAUUAUGCUUCAAAUGUGAUUUGGGGAGAAGCGAAGGAAAUGAAUCUGCUUUUGUGUUUCUUUGGUGAGAUUUUGGAGCUAUGCCAGCUUGGGAUGAUGAUAGUGGAUUUCCUGGGACCUUUUAUGAAUUGAUGGCAAUGCAUUUAGUGAUGUUGGGAAGUUAAGUACACUUGUCUCUCAACCUCGCCAGGCCAACUUAAACAGUGAGUCAAAUGGAGGUAAAUCUACCUAAGGUCAGAUCAGGAGCACUACAAAGUUACGUAUUGCUUGGACAAAGAGUGAGCACAGAGUUUGAGACAGAAAGAUUGGGCUGCUUCUUUGUUCUGGCAUGGUUGGAGUUGCGUCAAGAACGUUCAUCACGAAGGUUAGAGUUGCCAAUGCAUCUGCGAACUUAUUUUUUCUCAGUAGUGGAGAAAAAACUUAUUUUCUUGUUGAAAAGGCGCUUACUAUACAUGGCGACACAAGUAUGCCAGUAAGACCAGUUUCAAUAUCCCUAUUAUGCAAUCGAGACAGAGAUCUCAAACAUCGUAGAUAAAGUAUUUUUCUUAUAUUA